UACGUAGGUGGCAAGCGUUAUCCGGAAUUAUUGGGCGUAAAGCGCGCGUAGGCGGUUUUUUAAGUCCUGAUGUGAAAGCCCACGGCUCAACCGUGGAGGGUCAUUGGAAACUGGUAAACUUGAGUGCAGAAGAGGAAAGUGGAAUUCCAUGUGUAGCGGUGAAAUGCGCAGAUGAUAUGGAGGAAUCAUCCAGUGGCGAAGGCGACUUUCCUGGUCUCGUAACUGACA
rnacentral:rRNA from 1 species